rnacentral:rRNA from 1 species
AGUGAACGCUGGCGGUAUGCCUAACACAUGCAAGUCGAACGGCAGCACAGUAAGAGCUUGCUCUUAUGGGUGGCGAGUGGCGGACGGGUGAGGUAUACAUCGGAAUCUACUUUUUCGUGGGGGAUAACGUAGGGAAACUUACUCUAAUACCGCAUACGACCUACGGGUGAAAGCAUGGGAUCUUCUGACCUUGCGCGAUUGAAUGAGCCGAUGUCGGAUUAGCUAGUUGGCUGGUUAAAGGCCCACCAAGGCGACGAUCCGUAGCUGGUAUGAGAGGAUGAUCAGCCACACUGGAACUGAGACACGGUCCAGACUCCUACGGGAGGCAGCAGUGGGGAAUAUUGGACAAUGGGGGCAAGCCUGAUACAGCCAUACGGCGUGGGUGAAGAAGGCCUUCGGGUUGUAAAGCCCUUUUGUUGGGAAAGAAAAGCAGCAGGUUAAUACGCCGCUGUUCUGACGGUACCCAAAGAAUAAGCACCGGCUAACUUCGUG